rnacentral:rRNA from 1 species
UACGGGGGGGGCAAGCGUUGUUCGGAUUCAUUGGGCGUAAAGGGUGCGUAGGUGGCGUGGUAAGUCGGGUGUGAAAUUUCGGAGCUUAACUCCGAAACUGCAUUCGAUACUGCCGUGCUUGAGGACUGGAGAGGAGACUGGAAUUUACGGUGUAGCAGUGAAAUGCGUAGAGAUCGUAAGGAAGACCAGUGGCGAAGGCGGGUCUCUGGACAGUUCCUGACACUGAGGCACGAAGGCCAGGGGAGCAAACGGG